CCUCUGGCAGCCCUCCAAGUGUGAGCAGACCGAGGCUGUUUGGGGAGCCUGGAGCCCUUUAGCUCUGCCCUCAGUCUGCCUCUGAGCCAAAACCUGCAGCAGGCCUUGUCACCAGCAACACUGGGACCCCAAAGUUGAGAUGAUACAGGAAAACAACGGUUCCCCCCAGGAUGUCUGAAGGUGAGAUCGCGGCCUCCGCGAUAGUCCCUCCGCGGCUCCCCGGCAUUGUUUCCGUGGCCCAGCUUAAGCCUGUCCUCAGCGAUUUGCCGCCCCACUGCACCCGAGCUCAAUGCCAGCCCCUCACACAAAGGCGACAUUCACUUCAUCUACAGGAUUCCCGUAACGCCAGCAGUCUGCCCCACAAAGGCUGGCGCUGCAGUUUUCCACUCCAGGGCCCCGCGGGGCUCGCACACAAAUCCGCCUGUGUAGGGCGGAUGGGGCAUUGUUGUGGCUCAGCAGGGAAUGUGCCUGAGCUAAGCCCUCGCCCUGCUUCUCCUCGAGGUCAGCAGGUUAGACAGGAUGGUCCCCCGCAGACCCCCGAGCUGCCCUCAGAGUGGAACGUGGGGCCGGUCAUGUCCCGCCAGCCCCUUCCAGAACAAAGCCGGCAGACACAGUGUGCCAUAGACCCCAGAGGCCCUCCGAGGCUGGAGUUAAGUUGGGGAGAGCAUCCUCUUUCGGGGGUUUAGAGAUAAUUGUGUCCCACAGCACACACUGGGCACUCACCACUGCUAGGAUGUGCAGGUCAUGGGUGAUGGGGACAGAGCCAGUGAGGUCCCGCCCUCCCCCUGCGGGCCAGCACCUGGUGCGCCCAUCACGGGGUAUCACUUUUCCGGUGGUGGCAAAUGCUACUUCAUUGAGUUUAUUU
rnacentral:lncRNA from 1 species